AAUGACAGUACCGGGAGAAUAAGCUCCGGCUAACUCCGUGCCAGCAGCCGCGGUAAUACGGAGGGAGCUAGCGUUAUUCGGAAUUACUGGGCGUAAAGCGUACGUAGGCGGUUAUUCAAGUCAGAGGUGAAAGCCCGGGGCUCAACCCCGGAACUGCCUUUGAAACUAGGUAGCUAGAAUCUUGGAGAGGUCAGUGGAAUUCCGAGUGUAGAGGUGAAAUUCGUAGAUAUUCGGAAGAACACCAGUGGCGAAGGCGACUGACUGGACAAGUAUUGACGCUGAGGUACGAAAGCGUGGGGAGCAAACAGGAUUAGAUACCCUGGUAGCCCACGCCGUAAA
rnacentral:rRNA from 1 species